rnacentral:rRNA from 1 species
UACGGAGGGAGCUAGCGUUGUUCGGAAUUACUGGGCGUAAAGCGCACGUAGGCGGCUACUCAAGUCGGGGGUGAAAGCCCGGGGCUCAACCCCGGAACUGCCCUCGAAACUAGGUGGCUAGAAUCUUGGAGAGGUCAGUGGAAUUCCGAGUGUAGAGGUGAAAUUCGUAGAUAUUCGGAGGAACACCAGUGGCGAAGGCGGCUCACUGGUCCAUUACUGACGCUGAGGUGCGAAAGCGUGGGGAGCAAACAGG